UACAGAGGGGGCAAGCGUUGUUCGGAAUUACUGGGCGUAAAGGGCGCGUAGGCGGCCUGCUAAGUCGAACGUGAAAUCCCCGAGCUCAACUCGGGAACUGCGUCCGAUACUGGCAGGCUUGAAUCCGGGAGAGGGAUGUGGAAUUCCAGGUGUAGCGGUGAAAUGCGUAGAUAUCUGGAGGAACACCGGUGGCGAAGGCGGCAUCCUGGACCGGUAUUGACGCUGAGGCGCGAAAGCCAGGGGAGCAAACGGG
rnacentral:rRNA from 1 species